UACGGGGGGAGCAAGCGUUGUUCGGAUUUACUGGGCGUAAAGCGUGCGCAGGCGGUUCGUUAAGUUCGAUGUGAAAGCCCCGGGCUCAACCUGGGAACUGCAUUGGAAACUGGCGAGCUUGAGUAUGGCAGAGGGGGGUGGAAUUCCGCGUGUAGCAGUGAAAUGCGUAGAGAUGCGGAGGAACACCGAUGGCGAAGGCAGCCCCCUGGGCCAAUACUGACGCUCAGGCACGAAAGCGUGGGGAGCAAACAGG
rnacentral:rRNA from 1 species